rnacentral:rRNA from 1 species
CCCUUAGAUGUUCUGGGCCGCACGCGCGCUACACUGAAUGGAUCAACGUGUUUUCCCUUCCCGAGAGGGACGGGUAACCCGCUGAACCCCAUUCGUGGUAGGGAUCGGAGCUUGCAAUUAUUCCCCGUGAACCAGGAAUGCCCAGUAAGUGCAAGUCAUAAGCUUGCGUUGAUUACGUCCCUGCCCUUUGUACACACCGCCCGUCGCUACUACCGAUUGAACGUUUUAGUGAGGUACUCGGACUGAGCCUCAGAAGAUUCACGUCUUUUGUGCUGCUCGGGAAGAUUCCCAAACUUGAGCGUUUAGAGGAAGUAAAAGUCGUAACA